AUGAACGCCGGCGGCGUGCCUAAUACAUGCAAGUCGAGCGAACAGACGAGGAGCUUGCUCCUCUGACGUUAGCGGCGGACGGGUGAGUAACACGUGGAUAACCUACCUAUAAGACUGGGAUAACUUCGGGAAACCGGAGCUAAUACCGGAUAAUAUAUUGAACCGCAUGGUUCAAUAGUGAAAGACGGUUUUGCUGUCACUUAUAGAUGGAUCCGCGCCGCAUUAGCUAGUUGGUAAGGUAACGGCUUACCAAGGCGACGAUGCGUAGCCGACCUGAGAGGGUGAUCGGCCACACUGGAACUGAGACACGGUCCAGACUCCUACGGGAGGCAGCAGUAGGGAAUCUUCCGCAAUGGGCGAAAGCCUGACGGAGCAACGCCGCGUGAGUGAUGAAGGUCUUCGGAUCGUAAAACUCUGUUAUUAGGGAAGAACAAAUGUGUAAGUAACUAUGCACGUCUUGACGGUACCUAAUCAGAAAGCCACGGCUAACUACGUG
rnacentral:rRNA from 1 species